AGUGUAGAGAGGGGUGAGGUUGCUGUGAUAUAUCAGGUAAUUCACCCUUCUCUCACUAA
rfam:Sarcophilus harrisii ctg7180001489631, whole genome shotgun sequence.